UUUCGCAAUGCCCGAAAGGGUGACGAAGCGACGCCGCGUGUGGGAAGAAGGCCUUCGGGUUGUAAACCACUGUCGGGAGUUAGGAAAUGUAAGGGUGUUAAUAGUAUCCUUACUUGACUAAGGCUCCGGAGGAAGCCACGGCUAACUCUGUGCCAGCAGCCGCGGUAAUACAGAGGCGGCAAGCGUUGUUCGGAAUUAUUAGGCGUAAAGGGCACGUAGGCGGCCUUGUAAGUCAGUUGUGAAAGCCUUCUGCUUAGCGGAAGAACAGCAUCUGAUACUGCAAGGCUAGAGUGCGGAAGGGGAGAGUGGAACUUCUGGUGGAGCGGUGAAAUGCGUAGAUAUCAGAAGGAACACCGGCGGCGAAGGCGACUCUCUGGUCCGUAACUGACACUGAGUGUGCGAAAGCUAGGGGAGCAAACGGGAUUAGAUACCCCGGUAGUCCUAGCCGUAAACGAUGGGCACUAAGUAGAGGGGUUUUA
rnacentral:rRNA from 1 species